CGCUUCUAAAUAAUUUUUGCCUAGUUAUUACCUAAAAUAUUCAAUUUUAUAUUUAAACACUUAAAAAUCAUAAAAAUAUUUUUAAUCUUUAUUCCUUUAAUACUAUAUAUAUAUUUUUUAGAUAUUCCAAGAUAUUCCAAGACAUAAAAAGCAAGUGCUUUUAAAAACGUAAUUCCAAACUAAACCUUACAAUAUUGUAAAAUAUGUUAUCCAAAAGAUAUUAACACCAGUACUUACGUGUAUGAUGAAUAUGAAAGAUACGUAAAAUUGAACCACAGCGUUAUAGGACAAAAAGGAUUUAAAAUUAGCUCUAAUAUCAUGUUACCUAAAAGAUCGAUUUAGUAGGAAACACACCAGAUUAUAUAUCAACAAAAUAUAAUGGUAAAAUACAAACUAUAUAUG
rnacentral:lncRNA from 1 species